rnacentral:rRNA from 1 species
AUUGAACGCUGGCGGCAUGCUUUACACAUGCAAGUCGAACGGGCUGGGGGCGAACUCCAGUCAGUGGCGAACGGGUGAGUAAUACAUCGGAACGUACCUCGUAGUGGGGGAGUAACUCGGCGAAAGACCGUGCUAAUACCGCAUAUGCUCUACGGAGGAAAGACAGGGGACCGCAAGGCCUUGUGCUCCUGGAGCGGCCGAUAUCUGAUUAGCUAGUUGGUGGGGUAAAGGCCUACCAAGGCAUCGAUCAGUAGCUGGUCUGAGAGGACGGACCAGCCACACUGGAACUGAGACACGGUCCAGACUCCUACGGGAGGCAGCAGUGGGGAAUUUUGGACAAUGGGCGCAAGCCUGAUCCAGCAAUGCCGCGUGAGUGAAGAAGGCC